UGAGAACCACCUUAUGAACCGUUAGAUUAAUGAGAUAAAGUAACUCACAACCGUUAGAUCACCUCGACUUGUACGCACAAAAAAUUUCCAAUCUAGGGUCGUGCAGCUUCUUUCCAUUUUUGUCAUUUCUCUUUCUCUCUCCUAUUUCGCACUUUCUCUCUCCUAAUUCACAGUAAGUUUUCGUAAAUCUUCGCACUUUCUCUCUCCUAAUUCACAUUCAUUGGAAUACAUCGCAGUAACUUCUUCGUUCUCCGGUUAAAGUCUUCGCAAUACGUUCGUAGAAACAUGGAGAGAGAAAGUGCGAAAGAAAUGCUUAUAAAAGCAAGGCUCGCGCAAUUGGAAGAAACAAAUGAAUCUGCAGCUAUUGUUGCAAUUAAACCUAAGCCUAAACCCCUCAAUGGGUAAGGUUAAUCAUGAGAGUGAGGCAGCAAAAGGUCUGUAGCUGGACUGGCAGAUUUGAACUGUGAUGUGAUAAUGGAGCGAAGAAAGGGUCUUUCUGAAUGCUUCGGACUGAUGUACUUGUUUAUAGAAAUCUGCUGGUUGGGUUUCAGCACAUUAUCUUGAGCUUUCAGCUUUGUAGCAAAGAACUUAUGAGAAGCUUCGGACUGAUCAAGAAACUUCUUGUGGUUUGCUUAUACAUUGUGCAGUAGGUUGUCAUCUUUAUAGAAAUCUGCUGGUUGGGUUUCGGCACAUUAUCUUGUGUGUGCAGUCUCCGAAACCUACUUGUAUAGUUGUAUAGUUGUAUCUAAUAUCUAACUGAAAACUGGUUUAGCUCUAAAUACCAUUAUUCAAUGUUUUUUUUCACAAAUUUGUGGUGAGAAUCUACCCUAUAUAGCUGUUACCCCUGAGGCUUGUAGUUUUUGUGAGGUUGCCACCUGUGGGCUGUGGCAGGAUUUGUGAAGAGAACAGCAAGUGCAUAGCCUUACCUUUUAAGUUCGGAAGGUGACUUCAGUUAUACUCUA